rnacentral:lncRNA from 1 species
CGCCGGGGGCUCGCGCCAGCCACGAGGGAGCGUCCGCGGCCCGCGCGCCCGCGCGGCGGAGGAGAGGUGUUAAGUGUGAUGCUUCCAUAAUACAUUUGGAUGCUGUCAGCUAAGUUCACUUCUGAACUAAGGGGUUCCUCCAAAUGUUGGCUGAAAUUCAUCCCAAGGCUGGUCUGCAAGUGAGUGUCUGCACACAGUUUGCUUGUAUGUGGAGUCGAUCCAAAAUAGCAUCAAUGUUGGUUUUACCAAAGUAUUUAUUAUUGAUAAUAGAGGCUAAGUACAAAAUGUAGAGAAUGUCAGCUACUUGAGGCCUUUGAUUAUUAAAAAUUUUAUUAAUGCAUUAAACAAGAGUACAGUAAAUAGAUAAAUUUUAGGUUCAUGAAAUAAAACUGAAUAAUUUAUUUUUACUUACUAUUUAUCAUGGAAUUACUUUGAAUAAUUUAUUUUUAAUGGUAUAAUUGGACAGUAAAAUUUAUAAACUCAGUGCUUUUCAUAAAAAUCAAAGUGAAGUUUGUAAUAUUUUAUACAAAUAGAAUUAUUAUUUAAGAGAAAUAACCUGUUUAUGCCUAAUUACAGUUUUUAAUCAUUUCAGUUACCUAUUUCUUUUAAGAAUAAAUUUAGUGGGAAUAUCAGUUCCAGUCAUGGGUACCAAACUUUUUUAGUGACAGAGUACACACAGGUAUGUAAAACUUGUCAUUUCUCAUCAAAUAGAGGCUGCUGAAUAUAGGCAGGUAAGAAAAGCUAUGAGAAAGAAUUGUUUUGCAGAAUAUUUGUCUAGUUGUCAGAGCAAGGAACUGAAUUUAUUGACACAGAACAUUUUAUUAAGUAAAAAAAAUGGUUCUUAUAACAAAAAAAAAAGCUAAUUUUACAGAAGGCAGUAGUUAAUAUAGCCGCCAAUAAAAUAAAUGUUUCUCUGAAUACUUUCCGAGGCAUUACAGUGAUUUUUAACUAAUAUGAAGUGAUAUAUAAUAAUUUUAAAGUAACAUCCUUGAGUUUUCCUAUUAUUAAUUGCUUAUGGAAAUUGGGUUUCACGUAUGACUGAGAGCUAAAGCAUUACAGUGAGUUAGAAAACACAACACAAAUGUAAAGAAAAUGUUAGGUGGUGAGUAAUCUGAUUCCUUUUUGUUUGCCUUUAAGCUUAGUUUUUUGUUUUGUUUUACUUUGUUUUAAACCAUGUAUAAAAUUGUUGAAUUUAAAAGAUAAGAGGAUUAAGUAAUUUCUUUUUUCCUCCUAAGGAUAAAUGUAGGAAAAAUCUAAACACAUAGGCAGAUUGGUUGAGUUUUAUAUCUGUUAUCGGCCACAUUUAUUAAGAUUCAUAUUUCAUGUAUAUUAGAGGUAUUCACAUGUAUUAAAAUUCUUAUAUUCCUUCUAUAUAAAAUAGAUGUAGGGGGUUCCCACUCUUGAAAAUAUGAAGAAAAGAUGUCCUUUCAGCAAUAAUGGGUUAUGGUUGAUUAACUGAGAAGGUUGUAUUAAACGUUCUCUAGUAGAAAUGGCUAAAGAGCAUGCUUUUUGAGAAGUGUAUCAUCUAGGAAGAAAAUCAAAUGGAGUAUUGGUAAUUAAAUUGUAAUUCCAUGAAGGAAGGAAGUGGUGCAAAAGAUGAAGCUAACUAUUCCUGUUUUUCUUUUUAAGAGUCUGCAAUUCAUAAUGGAGCUACUGUACUGGCUAUUGGAAGGAGGAGAUUCUGAAGAUAAGGAGGUAAUAUUAUCUCUUUUAAAAGAAUACUUUCCUCUGUAAUCCUGAAUCUUUAUUACAUGUAAGAACUUUGUGCAGUAGACAGCAAUUUCUUUGAAUUUGGUAUAUGGAAACAAUUUUAUUUUCCUCUGCUAAGUUUUUGAGCCUGCCUCUUCUAGUGCCAUGGACUGCAUUGGUAGAGCUGAGAAAUAUCAUUUAGCCAUACUCAGCACCCUUAAAAUAGCUUCUUUCUGAGAAUUAGAUCUGUGAAGGUGUCCUGCACAGUUCUUGUAGAUGUCAUUUUAGUUUGUGGUUGACGUGCAUGCAUUUAGCAUGUUGCUUAACCGUCCUCAUUCGCCUCCCAGUUCUUUGUUGCCUUCAUUUGGGGGGAUGUGUUUUCUGCUGGAUGAUUUACUGCUAGACAUGACCAAACUCUGAGUAUAAGACUUGGUGUUUGGCAGCUGGUUCCAGUGCUCUGCUGAGAAGUAGUUGGGCCCAGCCUGGGGCAUUGUAGUGUCCUGGAGGCCGGGAGCUCCUGCACAGGGGUUCUUUUCCUGGUUCAGAGCCUUAGGUGCCUUUCCACUUUUCACGUAAUCUUUUCCUAGGUUGGCUUGCUGCUUACUUUGCAGCUGUUGCAGGGAUUCACAUGGAAUGGAGGGCUCCCUUUUAUUGUGGAUUAUUUCUUUGAUAAUUUACCCAUGUGCUUUUUCAUUUUCAAAAACCCAGUGGUGUUUAAGAAUGAAAGAUUCUUGAAGAACAAAAAUUGGGUUAAAUUUGUAUCUAUCAGAAAAGAUUCUAUCCUCUGAUGCUAUGUAGGCACAUUGAAUAUGCAGGCUAAAUUAAAAACAGAGUAAAACCUUUUUAUAAUAUGCCAAUUACUAUAUCUAAGAAUGUUUAUACAGGCUGAAAUUUUGUAAUGGUAUUUAUAUCUGUUUUCCUUUUUAAGGAAAAUAAUAUACUUUUCUAGGCAUCAAAAAUAUCUGCCCCUUUCACUAAUGCUGAUGUACCACCUUCCCCCAACCCCCAACGCUAAAUUUGACUGGCUUAAAAACAUCUGCCCCCUGAACUAUAUCUGGGGAGGAAUAUUAAUAAAACAAUGAAGGACUUCAUGGUGUCUAGUUAUAUAAUUAGGAAAUUGGUUAGAAACGUGGCUAAAACCAGUUUCUUUCAUUAAAAGAACUAGUGUACAUUUAAAAACAAAAACCUUCAGGAAAAAGACUCUUUGAUCUUUAAGUCAAAUAGUAUUUUUGGUUAACACAGCAGGAAGGGGAAAUAUACCAAUUUCAGAUUCUUUUAUUUAUGCCUAAGUAGAGGUUGUAAGCAGCUAAGGAAGUGAUUAAAAUGUAGUCUAGUAAAAAAUGGUGCUGAUUACUUGGAAAGCAGUUUACAUUUGCAAAAAAAUUCAGUAUUAUGACCUUCACCAACUUUUACACAUCAUAUACUUGGGUUAUUACUUAUGGUAUAGCUUGUGUAUGGAAUGCAAGGGUAUUUUCAAAUUGACUAGGUCUUGCUGGUCAUCUUAAAAUAUGUUACAAUAUUACAAAAUUGAAAUGUAAUAUUUUUUAAUAGAAGGAAAAUAUAAAUUUAAUAUCUGGGCAAUUGAGACCUUUAAACUUACUUUAAAAGUAUGAUCUUGAUGUAUAUGAUACUGUUUUGUCUUUGCUAUAUUAACAGAAUUAGAGGGGUGUUCUGCAAUUCAAAUACCUUAUAUAUUCCAAAUUUUAUUCUCUAUAAUGGACUUUUAAAAUAAAAGGUAUAUGUGCUUCAAGAGGGCAAAAUUUGAAUCAUGAGCUAAUUUGCUAAGCAUCAGAUUAUAGAAAAGCAUCCUUGAUUAAUUUGGAACUGUGAAAGGGGGCGGGUAAAACUGUUUUCUGCAGAAAUUUACUAGUGCAGCAACCAUUUAAAUUAAAUGUUUGUUAACAUAAUAGUGAUGGCAUUUUCUCCUCCCCCUCCUUGUGGUUUUGUCCAACUAGAUGUUACAGUGGCAGUUGCACUGACUGUUAAGUGUUUAAAUGAUGACACCAUUAUGUGAAGUGAUUUUGAAAUGAGAGAUUCCAGCCAAGAAUUACAUCUGCUCCCAUCUCCUUCAAAUCAUACUCUCUGGCAGUACAGAUUAUGAUUGAUUUGUUUGUGACAGAUUGCAGGAAACAGUCAUUGAUUUUUCAAUAUUUUACCUUAAAAUUAUUUACAGUUGUAACCAUGGGGAGGUAUUUUCAUGGGCUGUCAGCCCCUGAAAGACUAGGAUAAUAUUCCCUGCUCUCUGACAAGACAAAUUACCUGUAAUGAGUGCAGUAGCUGAAGGGUAUACUUUUAUUUUAAAAUAUGUCAAUAACCCCAGUGACUAAACGAAUAUUGAUUUAGCAUAAUGAAGCCUGAGUAACGUGAAAAUGAGCUUUUUCAAGGGGCAUGGUAAAGUCUUUCUUUUUAGCUGGUUGUAAGAAGCUUUUGAUUCUUUUCAGCCAGCUGGUAGGAAUAUAGAAUUUUAUAAGCAAACCAUCAGGAAUGAUAGUGUUGUUUCUGAUAAGCAACAUCCAAAUAUUUUGACCCUGCUUUUAGUGGUUUUUUUCAAAUCUUAUUUUGAGUCUUACUUUUAGUCAUAGAAUAGCUACUGAUUUGAUGCGGUCUUUAACUGACUUAAUAUUUUUACAAUUUCAAUAUAUUUUGCAUUGGAAUCUCCAGUAAUGAAUAUUAAAAUAUAUGUACAAUCAUUUGUAGAUGAUAUCAAUUAUAUUAAGACAUUUCAGAUGGGCUAUUGUAGUAUUUAAUGUGCCGUAUUUUAUGGUAGAAUAAUUCUCAGUCUCUGGACAUCAAGAUUGCUUUCAGUGGGAAUGAAGAUUAAUUUACUUCAGUCCUGAUUUUUUAGGCAUCAAUGCAUGUUUUCAUUUUUGUCAGACUUUUACCCUCUUUUAAUGUAAUUCUCAACUUCUUAUGGAUUUACUUCCCAAUACAUAAAAUCCUUCAAAACAAGAAUGAUAAUAAUUUUUAUACUUUUUAUAAAAAUAAAUUUAUUUUUAGUCCAUCAAGGUGUCUGAAGAUUUUAUGCCUAGGUAUCUCCAUAUCUAACUUGAUAAGGAAAAUAGGAUAAACAAUGCUGGUAAUAGCAGGAAAGUAAGUAUUUGAAUAAGAUGUCAAACUGAUAUUUCAUGUGAACCUAACUCAUUUUAUGGUAACUAAUAAUUAUCUUAUUUAAAUCAAUAGGUAAAACCUGUUUAGAAAUUAAAAAUGAGUUACGAUUUAAAGAAAAUUCAGAUGACUCAUUGUGAGUGCUAGUUCUCUUGUAGGAUGCCACUGGAAAUGUUGAAAUGAAAAAUAUUCAGCCGUUGGUCUUUGAAAUUUCCUGUGAUGUGUUUCAAUCUAGAUGCAAAGAACAUGGAAAAAUCAAAGUGCUCGAGUGGUUUAAAUAUGUUUUGGGUAUUCCUGUUUAUAGACUAUAAUACUUUUCCAAUUAAAAUCCUCAGUUGUCACGCAGAAGAAGGCUUUUGAAGCUGGAGAAGACUUGUUUUUCACAUGAGGAAACUGAGUCCCAGCAAGGUGAAAUGACUUGCUACAACUUCGUCUUUUCUCAUUGGACCUUGAGAACAAUGCAGAGAUUGCAUUGUCCCCCAUGUCAGAGCCAGGAGAUCAGGGGUGCAGACGUGUGAAGUGACCCAUCCUAGAUCCCACCGCUGUUCGCAUUCUCAAGUUUGAGCUUAGAUCCUCUGCUUCCAAGGUUGGUGGAGUUUUCUCACUGGCUUCACGUACUGGUGUUGGUGGAUAAUAGGUAAGACUUAGUUCUGACUGUGUAGAUUGGGGCUGCCAACCCCUGUGAGUACAGGGAGUGUCAGGUCACAAGGAGGGGAACUUAAUGGGCAUGUGAUCCUGAGGGGUCAAAGUCUCACCAUCUUCAGCUAGUCGUCAUCCUGCUGCUGCAGCUGGAGAUGGGUGGAGGCUGUCUGGGAUUUGAUGACCAACUCCAACUGGUUAGCUGCGUGCAAUAACUGGGGACCCUGAUACUAAAGAUAGUGACUUUAAUUAUGACCGUCUCAUGUUUUUAGAGAACUGGGUGUUGUUUUGUUUGGUUGUGGUUUGGCCACAUAUUAGAAGUCAGUUAAUGAA